UACGUAGGCAGCGAGCGUUGUUCGGAGUUACUGGGCGUAAAGAGUGCGUAGGCGGUUUUCUAAGUUUGGUGUGAAAUCUCCCGGCUUAACUGGGAGGGUGCGCCGAAGACUGGAAGGCUUGAGUAUGGGAGAGGUAAGCGGAAUUCCUGGUGUAGCGGUGAAAUGCGUAGAUAUCGGGAGGAACACCGGUGGCGAAGGCGGCGACCUGGGUAGAUACUGACGCUGAGGUGCGAAAGCGUGGGGAGCAAACAGG
rnacentral:rRNA from 1 species